GACGAACGCUGGCGGCGUGCCUAAUACAUGCAAGUAGAACGCUGAAGGAGGAGCUUGCUUCUCUGGAUGAGUUGCGAACGGGUGAGUAACGCGUAGGUAACCUGCCUGGUAGCGGGGGAUAACUAUUGGAAACGAUAGCUAAUACCGCAUAAGAUUGACUAUUGCAUGAUAGUCAGUUAAAAGGUGCAAUUGCAUCACUACCAGAUGGACCUGCGUUGUAUUAGCUAGUUGGUGGGGUAACGGCUCACCAAGGCGACGAUACUUAGCCGACCUGAGAGGGUGAUCGGCCACACUGGGACUGAGACACGGCCCAGACUCCUACGGGAGGCAGCAGUAGGGAAUCUUCGGCAAUGGACGGAAGUCUGACCGAGCAACGCCGCGUGAGUGAAGAAGGGUUUCGGAUCGUAAAGCUCUGUUGUAAGAGAAGAACGAGUGUGAGAGUGGAAAGUUCACACUGUGACGGUAUCUUACCAGAAAGGGACGGCUAACUACGUG
rnacentral:rRNA from 1 species